rnacentral:rRNA from 1 species
GACGAACGCUGGCGGCGUGCCUAAUACAUGCAAGUAGAACGCUGAAGGAUGAGCUUGCUUCUCUGGAUGAGUUGCGAACGGGUGAGUAACGCGUAGGUAACCUGCCUUGUGGCGGGGGAUAACUAUGGGAAACGAUAGCUAAUACCGCAUAAGAGUAGAUGUUUCAUGACAUUUUCUUAAAAGGUGCAAUUGCAUCACUACCAGAUGUACCUGCAUUGUAUUAGCUAGUUGGUGAGGUAACGGCUCACCAAGGCAACGAUACAUAGCCGACCUGAGAGGGGGAGUGACCACCCUGGGACUGAGACAGGGCCGAGACACCUGAGGGAGGACGCAGUAGGGAAUCUUAGGCAAGGGAGGGGAGUCUGACAGUGCAAAGCGGCGGAAGUGCAGAAGGAUUUAGGAUCGUAAAGCUCGGUUGUAAGAGAAGAACGAGUGUGCGGGUGGAAAGUUCAAAAUGUGACGGUAUCUUACCAGAAAGGGACGGCUAACUACGUG